GUAAGGGUUACAGAGUUAAGGAUAUAAGGACUGAAAAUCCUUGUGUCCUUGGUUCGAUUCCGAGUCUGGGCACCA
rnacentral:tRNA from 1 species